GUAGCGUAGCCCGGUUAUCGCGCCGCGUUUGGGACGCGGAGGUCGCAGGUUCGAAUCCUGCC
rnacentral:tRNA from 1 species